AAAAACUCCGGUGGUGUGAGAUGGAUCCGCGUCUGAUUAGCCAGUUGGCGGGGUAACGGCCCACCAAAGCGACGAUCAGUAGCCGGCCUGAGAGGGUGACCGGCCACAUUGGGACUGAGACACGGCCCAAACUCCUACGGGAGGCAGCAGUGGGGAAUAUUGCACAAUGGGCGAAAGCCUGAUGCAGCGACGCCGCGUGAGUGAAGAAGUAUUUCGGUAUGUAAAGCUCUAUCAGCAGGGAAGAAAAUGACGGUACCUGACUAAGAAGCCCCGGCUAACUACGUGCCAGCAGCCGCGGUAAUACGUAGGGGGCAAGCGUUAUCCGGAUUUACUGGGUGUAAAGGGAGCGUAGACGGCGAAGCAAGUCUGAAGUGAAAACCCAGGGCUCAACCCUGGGACUGCUUUGGAAACUGUUUUGCUGGAGUGUCGGAGAGGUAAGUGGAAUUCCUAGUGUAGCGGUGAAAUGCGUAGAUAUUAGGAGGAACACCAGUGGCGAAGGCGGCUUACUGGACGAUAACUGACGUUGAGGCUCGAAAGCGUGGGGAGCAAACAGGAUUAGAUGCCCUGGUAGUCCACGCCGUAAACGAUGAAUGCUAGGUGUUGGGGGGCAAAGCCCUUCGGUGCCGC
rnacentral:rRNA from 1 species